rnacentral:misc_RNA from 1 species
AACGGAAAACUGAGUGCUAGGGUUGUCGCUGACCCUUCGAAGGGUCGUGCACGCCCAAGUGCUCUCUCUCAAUCCAUCUCACCCCUUUGUGCACCACCGCGUGGGCCACCUUUUUGGCUUGUUUCAAAGAGGUUKGGUCCCGGUUUUAACCCUGCCCUUAAGGUAAAAAAGGCCUUAUUUUUGGCSGCCACCCCCAAAAAAAAAUAACAAUUUUCACCACGGAACCCCUGGCUCCCCSCACCAAGGAAAAACCAACCGAAUGGCAAUACGUAAGGGAAAUUGAAAAAUCCAUGAAACCAUCAAACCUUUAAACCCACUUUGCCCCCUUGCAAUCCGAGGGCAAACCGGUUGAAUUGCCUUAACCCCUCCCUCACCUUCCUUUGUCUUUUGCCAGGAAGGUUGGAUUUGAAGUUUUUCUUUGUGGAACCUUUUAAGCACUCCUCCAAUGGAACCAUGGAACCGUUUGUUAACUCAAGUGAAAGCAAUAUCAGGCUGAUUUCCAAACUGCCUCAUGGCUAACAAACAUGUCGGGUCCAACCACCAAACCUGAACUAAUCGUGAAUACGCGACUUAACAAACCAAAACGAGGGAAAAACUACAGAAUUCCAAAUAACUGCAGGAAACGGGAACCUAUUUCUACCCGGGGCCAUGUACACUAAAUUUAAUUAA